GGGUGCGUAGCUCAAAUGGCAGAGCCCCUCCUUUGGGAGGAGAUGCGGGUUCGAAUCCCGCCGCACCAC
rnacentral:tRNA from 1 species